rnacentral:lncRNA from 12 species
UUACCGCAGAGAGAGGAGGCGAGCGGGGGAUCUGAGUCCAUAGUCCCGGUGGACAAAUGAAGCAGAACAAAAUAUAUGACAGGCAAACUGCCAGUUGUCAUACUCCAAGGAAUUAUUAAACAUUAAUAUGUUUACUUUCUACUUACUUCCUCCUACUAGUCUUUUCAUGAAAUUGAUCGUUUGGGAAGCCGAGGCAGGAAAACAAACCUCCACUGAAUCAAAACCACCUGUAAACCCUUCCCAGGCCCCUGUGUGCCGUGAGGCCCCAGGUCUCCACCGCUGUCGCCUGGCCCGGCAGGAUCUGUGUAUCCUGGUGACUGAGCAAUGCACCUUCUCAAGGCCCAACCAGGCCGGCCUCAUCCGAAGCCUUAACAAGCCGAAUGGGGUCCAAAGUUGCUUCCCACACUUGGAAAACAAGAAUAAUUACCCAUCCCACCCACUCUGA